UGCUUUUGCUGGGGUUGCACCGUGUUGGUUCAGAGAUUUUUGUAAUGCAAAAAAACCUCAUGGUGUGAACUUGGGAACCAGGAACAUGGGUAUUUGUAGUCACUGUUUCAGCUGACUGGCUGCCAGUUGGAAGGAGCUUGGGUCCUCUCCAAACCUCUGGUGCUCUGAAGCUUUAUCGUGCCUCCAGGCUCCUCAAAGCAAGGUGUGUAGCUGAAACAGAGUUUGCAGAUACAACUGAAGAUUUGGAAAAGGGGUCCAUUUGGUGAAGGAAACUAGUAGGUUGAAGGGAAGGCUGUUCUGGAAAAUAUGAACUCUGGUGGUUGCUUGAAACUAAAUGACUUGACCUUAAAUAACAGGAGUUUCAAAGUGACAAUUCCUUUUCUACAGGAAUUUCCAGUGAAAUACUUCCAUCUUUAUAGGAAAGGUUUUUCCCUCCAUCUGUAAAUAAAUUUCUCUCUAAGGUAAUUCCAGAGAAGAGCCCCUAUGUAAGGCACAGAAACCUGUGCCUUUAAGGCACAGCUUGCUGCUGCUUCAUGAAAGGGUCUGAUAACAAUUUUGGAGCAGAGUUGGUGCUUUACCCACCCCCCCUCCCCUCCACUUCCAUAAAUCCUAAUGUAAUUUACCAAUCUUUGCUUAUUCUAGAUGAUUUUUCUUUUGGUAACGUGUAUUAAUGCUGCAAUGACCGCUGCUAGAAACUCCAAGCAGAAGAACUGCAACUGUCCGCUCGGCACCCAGCGCACUCCUGAGUGCACAGGAGGCUUCGGCUGCACAUCCCCGGAUCUUCUGAAGGCACCUGAUAACUCAAGAUAUUCUCUGAUUUCCCAGUCCUACAGCAAGUUCUACACCACAGCUGUAUCAGAGAAGCACUGGGAACAGGCUUUGGGCUCAUCGAGGUCUCAUCUGGCAGUGUGUCCUAGGUAGGCGGUAGAUAAUUUUUUCAUUAGUUUAUAAUUUCAUUGAAGAACUUGAGAAUAAAUAUU
rnacentral:lncRNA from 1 species